rnacentral:rRNA from 1 species
UACGGGGGGGGCAAGCGUUGUUCGGAAUUACUGGGCGUAAAGGGCUCGUAGGCGGCCAACUAAGUCGGACGUGAAAUCCCCAGGCUCAACCUGGGAACUGCGUCUGAUACUGGAUGGCUUGAAUCCGGGAGAGGGAUGCAGAAUUCCAGGUGUAGCGGUGAAAUGCGUAGAGAUGUGGAGGAACACCGAUGGCGAAGGCAGCCCCCUGGGCUAACACUGACGCUCAUGCACGAAAGCGUGGGGAGCAAACAGG